UCGUGCAUUUUGUGUUUGGAACCUGAGUUUGGAUAUUUCCACCGCCGAUCCUUUAUGAAAUGGAGUUUUUAGUUCUUGCUGUGUUAGAUCUGUGGAUUUCAAUUAUGAUGACCCUGAUGCGUUUAGUUUCAGCUCUCUUUUUGUUUUCACGUUGGUAGUUUUGUGCUUUCAGCUAGUUGGGUGCAUGAAAAUAGAGUAGAUUGUCUAGAUCUGUCUUAUUUACGUUGGAUCUCAUACGGAUCUAUGUUGAGUCUGUUUUAUUUCAUGUUACUGUUCAAAUAUGUUGUUUGAUGUUCGCUUUUAGUUUCUUGGAGAAGAAGAAGAUGGUAGUUAGUUAAACUGCAUGUUUCUGUCACCUUUUCUAGUUUUCACAUCUUUUUGGAGUGCGCGCAUUUGUGUCAGUGGUCCCAACAUGCUUUUUGCUUUUCGCUUUAUCAGUCUAGUUGAUCAGUUGGUUAUUUACUUCCAUCAUAUUCUUAUUUAACUUGAUAAGUUUAGUUUUAUAAGUUGAGUCGUUUAUUUUCUUAGGUAAAUCUUAACCCCCAAAAGCGUGGCAGCAGCCAAAACCCCCCAAAAUGUCUCAAUCUCAAUUCCAUUCGCAACCAUUCCUGUGCGAUUCGACCCGUACUUCCCUCUACUAAGACGAUAGUAGUGCGGGUUAAGGUCUUGAAAGGCAUCCCAAAUUUCAAUCUGGAGCACAAACAGCCAUCAGUAGCUGUGCUUAGCUUGAGCCAUCCGUUCUUAGACUUGACCAAGCGUUGCUGUACCUUGGCCCGAAUCGUGGACGCUGGAACAAUACCGGGAACUGGAGAGACUCCGAGGGAAAUUGGAAGAUAAGAACAGCAUUCGUUCCCGUUGUCACCAGGUCCGGGUUGAACACAGGAGGUCCAUCAUUUUCUACCUCUGAAGGGGAGGAAGAUAUACCCCCAUUUGUUACGCCGCUAAAGGCUAGAUCCAAUAGUUACUUUCUGCCCACUAAAUUAUUAACAAAAGUCCUAAACCAUUAACAACAUGUAAACAUUUUUGGGUUGGUGUUUGUUUUUGAUACCUAGAGGCUAGAUCCCUGGUAUAGAUGUUUUUACUUUUUAACUUUUCUUUACUUUUGGUGUUGGUUUGGGUGAGUUUUGUUCUUGUGGUUUGUGAGGCUUAUUUCUCUUUGUUUACCUAGCUUGAGCAUUUUUCUUUUCAUCAAAAAUAAAAUAAAAUUAAGAACAGCUAUUGAAAUUUGA